GACGAACGCUGGCGGCGCGCUUAACACAUGCAAGUCGAGCGAAGCGGCGGACGGGUGAGUAACACAUGAGUAACCUGCCUUAGACAUUGGGAUAGCCUCGGGAAACGGGGAUUAAUACCAAAUGGUCUAAGAUGGACUCGCGUCCCAUUAGCUGUUUGGUGAGGUAACGGCCCCACAAGGCGACGAUGGGUAGCCGGCCUGAGAGGGUGAACGGCCACAUUGGAACUGAGAAACGGUCCAAACGCUACGGGAGGCAGCAGUGGGGAAUAGUGCACAAUGGAGGGAACUCUGAUGCAGCGACGCCGCGUGAACGAAGAAGGCUUUCGAGUCGUAAAGUUCUUUUAUAUGGGAAGCGGUACCAGAAGAAAAAGCCCCGGCUAACUACGUGCCAGCAGCCGCGGUAAUUC
rnacentral:rRNA from 1 species